CGCCAGACUCCUACGGGAGGCAGCAGUGGGGAAUAUUGCACAAUGGGGGAAACCCUGAUGCAGCGACGCCGCGUGAGCGAUGAAGUAUUUCGGUAUGUAAAGCUCUAUCAGCAGGGAAGAAAAUGACGGUACCUGACUAAGAAGCCCCGGCUAACUACGUGCCAGCAGCCGCGGUAAUACGUAGGGGGCAAGCGUUAUCCGGAUUUACUGGGUGUAAAGGGAGCGUAGACGGCAAUGCAAGCCAGAUGUGAAAGCCCGGGGCUCAACCCCGGGACUGCAUUUGGAACUGUGUAGCUGGAGUGUCGGAGAGGCAGGCGGAAUUCCUAGUGUAGCGGUGAAAUGCGUAGAUAUUAGGAGGAACACCAGUGGCGAAGGCGGCCUGCUGGACGAUGACUGACGUUGAGGCUCGAAAGCGUGGGGAGCAAACAGGAUUAGAUACCCCUGUAC
rnacentral:rRNA from 1 species